AGAGUUUGAUCAUGGCUCAGAUUGAACGCUGGCGGCAGGCCUAACACAUGCAAGUCGAGCGGUAGCACAGAGAGCUUGCUCUCGGGUGACGAGCGGCGGACGGGUGAGUAAUGUCUGGGAAACUGCCUGAUGGAGGGGGAUAACUACUGGAAACGGUAGCUAAUACCGCAUAAUGUCGCAAGACCAAAGUGGGGGACCUUCGGGCCUCAUGCCAUCAGAUGUGCCCAGAUGGGAUUAGCUAGUAGGUGGGGUAACGGCUCACCUAGGCGACGAUCCCUAGCUGGUCUGAGAGGAUGACCAGCCACACUGGAACUGAGACACGGUCCAGACUCCUACGGGAGGCAGCAGUGGGGAAUAUUGCACAAUGGGCGCAAGCCUGAUGCAGCCAUGCCGCGUGUGUGAAGAAGGCCUUCGGGUUGUAAAGCACUUUCAGCGGGGAGGAAGGCGUUAAGGUUAAUAACCUUGGCGAUUGACGUUACCCGCAGAAGAAGCACCGGCUAACUCCGUGCCAGCAGCCGCGGUAAUACGGAGGGUGCAAGCGUUAAUCGGAAUUACUGGGCGUAAAGCGCACGCAGGCGGUCUGUCAAGUCGGAUGUGAAAUCCCCGGGCUCAACCUGGGAACUGCAUUCGAAACUGGCAGGCUAGAGUCUUGUAGAGGGGGGUAGAAUUCCAGGUGUAGCGGUGAAAUGCGUAGAGAUCUGGAGGAAUACCGGUGGCGAAGGCGGCCCCCUGGACAAAGACUGACGCUCAGGUGCGAAAGCGUGGGGAGCAAACAGGAUUAGAUACCCUGGUAGUCCACGCCGUAAACGAUGUCGAUUUGGAGGUUGUGCCCUUGAGGCGUGGCUUCCGGAGCUAACGCGUUAAAUCGACCGCCUGGGGAGUACGGCCGCAAGGUUAAAACUCAAAUGAAUUGACGGGGGCCCGCACAAGCGGUGGAGCAUGUGGUUUAAUUCGAUGCAACGCGAAGAACCUUACCUGGUCUUGACAUCCACAGAACUUAGCAGAGAUGCUUUGGUGCCUUCGGGAACUGUGAGACAGGUGCUGCAUGGCUGUCGUCAGCUCGUGUUGUGAAAUGUUGGGUUAAGUCCCGCAACGAGCGCAACCCUUAUCCU
rnacentral:rRNA from 1 species